AACAAAACCUAGAAGUGAGGACAGUGACAGUUCACUGUCCUCUGCUUACUGCCCUGAUUUUGCUGUAUUGUCUUCUUGUUUUAAUGUUUUAUUUGCGAGAUAAAAGGAGAUCUUGGAAUGAAGGCUUGUUACAGGGAAGACAGUGAAAGGAAGGUAAAAGGAAAGUCAAAGGGGAGGGAGCGGGGCUGGGGGAGAGAACUCCCCUGGAUUGUGGAAGGUUUGGGAAGAAACAACCCAUCAGACCAGUCCCCUCCACCAUUGGUCCAAGAAGACGGUUAGUUCUGCUGCUGGUGUGUUAGUCCUGUAUGGGCACAAGUAGUCACGAGGCACUGAGGAGCCUCUCUGAUAAAUAGCUGCUCUAACAGAUGAUGAUAUUGACACUAGGAGUCUGUGUUUUCAAAAGGAAACAUUAUAUUACACUUAUUUAGCUGACAUAAUCCGAGCCCUGUUCAGUGCUCGCAGAGGACCUGUGAUGCUGAAAUAGCUUGUUUCCACAAAGCACUUACCAACACUUGCAUAGGGAGAGCUUGGCUCUAAAUCCUCAGCACUGGCUUUUUGUUUAUUCGUUUUUUUAACUCCGGGCAGAGCCAAGUCUCUGCUGCAACCGACACAGUUUCACUUUGCAAAUCAAUGAGACAGUGCUACAAGGGCAGAAGAGUCUCGCCCGUGAAACUUCAUACUGUUCAGAGCUGCCAAACUGACAGCCCUGACUGACUGCUGUCUUCAUGGAACUAAUCCACGCCAAAUGUCUGAACUCCUCUGUGGCUCUCACCACCCUCCCAGGCUCCUCCUUAGUGAGACCUUUGGGGAUUGUUCAGGCUCCAACCAGCAGAACAGGAGCUUUAAAGAGCAAGACAUUCCGAAGUAGGAAUGCCAAAAUCUGCUAUGAGGCAAAAGCUUAGAGGUGGCUGGAAAUGAGCUGUCGUUCUGCAGCGUGAUCCACAGCAGAGCUGGAACCAGGUAAAGCCACAUGUGUCUAAAUGCAGCCCUUGCAUGCAAAAUGAUAGAUCAAGUUUUUUAGCCACUGAUUGUGUCCAUCUCACCCGUUCAGGUGAUCAGGACUAGAUGGCCUCUACUGCUUCAAUUAUGUUGGCCGUUAAUGACAAUACUUCUCACAAGCAAGCUGGGCUGCUGUGCCUGAUACUCCUAUAGCUCUCACCACGUGUGGCUGCUGCCACUUCAGCUGUGGCCUCCAGGUAAGAAUUUAGCAUUUUGCACAGCUCUGGACUCCUGGAAAUGCCUGAAUACAGAGAGACCAGGAGCGAGCUGCCUCUCCGGCUGAUUUGCCUCUCCAGGCAAAUUUGGUGAAGAGAGCUCAGCCCUGACUCAGGGUAUUCCUCAGGGCUAAAAGAACAAAUCUAAAUGUACUUACAGCAUGCUUUUCCACUCUCGAAAAACUGGUUCCACCUGUGGGUGCUGAGCCUGUAACAGCCUCCAGACAAUCUGUCCCCCUUGGCUGGAAGUCAGGGACCUUAAGAGAGCAGAGAGGGGAAAUCUGCAGACUUAGGAAGAGAGAUCCGUGUUCUUCCCAAGGACCUCGG
rnacentral:lncRNA from 1 species